rnacentral:misc_RNA from 1 species
GAUGAAGAACGUAGCGAAAUGGGAUAACUAAUGUGAAUUGCAGAAUUCCGUGAAUCAUCGAGUCUUUGAACGCACAUUGCGCCCCCUGGUAUUCCGGGGGGCAUGCCUGUCCGAGCGUCAUUGCUGCCCAUCAAGCACGGCUUGUGUGUUGGGUCCUCGUCCCCCCCGGGGGACGUGCCCGAAAGGCAGCGGCGGCACCGCGUCCGGUCCUCGAGCGUAUGGGGCUUUGUCACCCGCUCUGCAGGCCCGGCCGGCGCUGGCCGACGCGAAAGCAACCAUUUUUUCUCCAGGUUGACCUCGGAUCAGGGAGGGAUACCCGCUGAACUUAAGCAUAUCAAUAAGCGGAGGA